rnacentral:rRNA from 1 species
AGAGUGAACGCUGGCGGCAGGCCUAAUACAUGCAAGUCGAACGGCAGCACAGCAGAGCUUGCUCUGUGGGUGGCGAGUGGCGGACGGGUGAGGAAUACAUGGGAAUCUGCCCAGUCGUGGGGGAUAACGUAGGGAAACUUACGCUAAUACCGCAUGCGCCCUUCGGGGGAAAGCCGGGGACCUUCGGGCCUGGCGCGAUUGGAUGAGCCCAUGUCGGAUUAGCUAGUUGGGGGGUAAAGCCCACAAGGCGACGAUCCGUAGCUGGUCUGAGAGGAUGAUCAGCCACACUGGAACUGAGACACGGUCCAGACUCCUACGGGAGCAGCAGUAGGAAUAGUUGGACAAGUGGGCGACAAGCCUGACUCCAGCCAUCGGCCGCGUGUGUAGAAGGAAGGUCCCUUAGGGUUAGUAAAGCUAACGUUUUUCGUAACCGGAAAGAAAG